rnacentral:rRNA from 1 species
UACGGAAGGCAGCAGUAGGGAAUCUUCCGCAAUGGACGAAAGUCUGACGGAGCAACGCCGCGUGAACGAUGAAGGCUUUCGGGUCGUAAAGUUCUGUUGUUAGGGAAGAACAAGUACCGGAGUAACUGCCGGUACCUUGACGGUACCUAACCAGAAAGCCACGGCUAACUACGUGCCAGCAGCCGCGGUAAUACGUAGGUGGCAAGCGUUGUCCGGAAUUAUUGGGCGUAAAGCGCGCGCAGGCGGUCCUUUAAGUCUGAUGUGAAAGCCCACGGCUCAACCGUGGAGGGUCAUUGGAAACUGGGGGACUUGAGUGCAGAAGAGGAGAGUGGAAUUCCACGUGUAGCGGUGAAAUGCGUAGAGAUGUGGAGGAACACCAGUGGCGAAGGCGACUCUCUGGUCUGUAACUGACGCUGAGGCGCGAAAGCGUGGGGAGCGACAGGGAUUAGAUACC